UACGGAGGAUCCAAGCGUUAUCCGGAUUUAUUGGGCUUAAAGGGUGUGUAGGCGGUUUAUUAAGUCAGGGGUGAAAGACGGCAGCUUAACUGUCGCAGUGCCUUUGAUACUGAUGAACUUGAAUGUACUAGAAGUAGGCGGAAUGUGACAAGUAGCGGUGAAAUGCAUAGAUAUGUCACAGAACACCGAUUGCGAAGGCAGCUUACUAUGGUAUUAUUGACGCUGAGGCACGAAAGCGUGGGGAUCAAACAGG
rnacentral:rRNA from 1 species